GACGAACGCUGGCGGCGUGCCUAACACAUGCAAGUCGAACGGAGUUGUUUCUUCGGAGAUAACUUAGUGGCGAACGGGUGAGUAACGCGUGAGAAACCUGCCUUUCAGUGGGGGACAACAGUUGGAAACGACUGCUAAUACCGCAUAACGUAUCGAGGGGGCAUCCUCUUGAUACCAAAGCUUUAUGUGCUGAAAGAUGGUCUCGCGUCUGAUUAGCUAGUUGGUGAGGUAACGGCUCACCAAGGCGACGAUCAGUAGCCGGUCUGAGAGGAUGAACGGCCACAUUGGGACUGAGAUACGGCCCAGACUCCUACGGGAGGCAGCAGUGGGGAAUAUUGGGCAAUGGGGGAAACCCUGACCCAGCAACGCCGCGUGAAGGAAGAAGGCCUGGUUGUAAACUUCUUUUACCUAGGGACGAAGAACGU
rnacentral:rRNA from 1 species